UACGUAGGUGGCAAGCGUUGUCCGGAAUUAUUGGGCGUAAAGCGCGCGCAGGCGGUCCUUUAAGUCUGAUGUGAAAGCCCACGGCUCAACCGUGGAGGGUCAUUGGAAACUGGAGAACUUGAGUACAGAAGAGGAAAGCGGAAUUCCACGUGUAGCGGUGAAAUGCGUAGAGAUGUGGAGGAACACCAGUGGCGAAGGCGGCUUUCUGGUCUGUAACUGACGCUGAGGCGCGAAGCGUGGGGAGCAAACAGG
rnacentral:rRNA from 1 species